rnacentral:rRNA from 1 species
AACGAACGCUGGCGGCAUGCCUAACACAUGCAAGUCGAACGAUACCUUCGUGUCUAGUGUCGCACGGGUGCGUAACGCGUGGUAACCUGCCCUUAGGUUCGGCAUAACUCCCCGAUUGGGCUGCUAAUCUCGUAUAAUUUCUUCGUACCAACGCUUUAUCGCCUUUGGAUGGGGCCGCGUUGGAUUAGCUAGGUGGUAGGGUAAAAGCAUACCACGGCGACGAUCCAUAGCUGGUCUGAGAGGAGGAUCAGCCACACUGGGACUGAGACAAGGCCCAGACUCGUACGGGAAGAAGCAGUGAGGAAAAAAGGACAAUGGGCGAAAGGCUGAACCAGCAAGGGCGGGAGAGUGAUGAAGGCGUUAGGGUUGGAAAGCUGUUGUAACCGGGAUGAUAAUGACAGUACCGGGAGAAGAAGCACCGGCUAACUCCGUG